AUCAACCCUAUGAGGUUAUUGAAAUUUAGAGUUUUUAUUUUUAUAAUGUUAUGAUGAAAUUAUAAUGAAAAGUAUAAUUUUGAAAUAUUAGGCUCUCAGAAAAAAUUUUCAAGAUUACUUGGAUCUAUUAGUUGGAUUGCAUUUGCAAGGUAAGUAAUGGAACAUUUUUCUAAAUUUAUGGGCAAAUUAUAAAUAUUUUUUUGAGUCGAAUUAUUCUUGAUUUAUGAAUUUGAUGCAUGGUGUUAUAUGCUUUUUUCUAUAAUAUUGUAUGAUUCUUAAUUGAACGUAUUGGUUUGAAUAUAGAUUAUAUUUGAUUGAUUUCGAUAUCACAUCUUUCAAUUUGGAAUACUGAACAAGUUUUGAAUCGAAACAAAUUUGGACUUGCAGUUGGACUAUGUUGAGAAUCCCGCCAAUAGAAGCUAAUACGUUGGCAUAUGAUUUGUCCUGAAAGUUAUGUCCAAGAUGAUUAGCGAUAUAGCACCAGCAGACUAGCAAUUUUGAAGGAUUUUACUACAAGUUGAUGUGCAGCUCACCACAAGAAGAUUAAUCGGUGUUAUGAUUCUGCCACAGAAAAGCUGUAGUCAUAGCUCUUGGUAGUUGAGUUGAAUUUAAUGAUUUGAAAAAAAUUAAUUUAUGAACGAUAUUUAGAUUUUAGAAAAAUUGAAUUUAGUGUAAGUAAUGAUCACUUUUUCUAAGUUUAUCGGCAAUUAUUAAAUUAUUAUAUUCAUAACUUUUGAGUGGUAUUAUUCAUGAUGCACGAAUUUGAUGCAUAGUAUAUUAUUAUGUAAUAUAAUAUUUUAGAAGGUUAUGACAAUAUAUGAUCUUAUUAUAGAUUUAAUUGAUUGAUUUGACACCUCAUGAUUUUGGAAUUGGAAUAUGAAACUUAGAACUAUUUAAAUUUUGAUUCGGCUAUGUUGGGGACCCCGCCAAUGGGGAUUAAUAUGUUGGCACAUGAUUUAACCUAAAAGUCUUAUCCAAGAUGAUUAGUGACAUACGCCAGCUGACUAGCAGUCCUGAAGGACUUUGAUGUAAGAUGAUAUGCAGCUCACCGCAAGAAGAUUAGUCGGUAUUAUGACCCUUUCACAAGAAACAUGCGGUCAUAGCUCAGAAUCGAAAAGAUGAAUUAAGUAUUUGAAAGAAUAUGAAUUCAUGAAUGAAAUUUAAUAUUCUAAGAAGAAUUUGAUUUAUAUAUUAGUAUUGCAUAUAUGUUUAUUUUCUGCAUAUUAUUAUUUAUUUAAUUGCCUGAUUUAUCUAGCUAGAGUGUUUAUUGCUUACUGGGUUGUUUAGCUCAUGAUACGAUUUUUUUUAUUUUUUAUAUAUUUAGAAAACUAGCCUAAUGGGGUUUUUAAUAUUGGAGAGCGAUUAGAAGAACUGUGGCACAAGUUAUCUCAAAUUAAAGUUUAUUUAAAUUGAUGUUUUAUCUUAGACUAAUAUUAGAAUUGUGAGAUAUUGUAAGAUGAGUUAAUUAAUGAAAUAAAGUUUUCAUAUUAUUAGUUAAAUUAUUUCUACUACCUAAUUUUGAUAUCAUGAUACGAUACAUUGCAUGCUCGUGGGAAGAGUUUCCAAUGAGUGUGCGGUGGUUACUGUGACUCCUGGCUCGCGAUCUCGGAUCGAGGACGUGAUAGAAAUUUAUAGGGGUAACCAUAUAAAUUAUGAGUUGAUAAGGAUAUAUAUGCAAAAAGACAUGCAUACAUAUAGGGCAUAUAUGUAAAAGAAAAAAAAGUCCUGAUUUUAUGUUUCAAAUAAUAGACGUACUUUUGAACACCUUACAUAUUUUGAAUUUAAAAGAUAAUUCUUUACUGGGUAACAGUUGAAUAAGUGACGUUUUUACGGCUAGCUAAUUAUUUAACUCUUACCACGUAAAUUUAUAUGCAGCUUCUCAGUUUACUGUGAUUCUAGCCGUUUAUUUUCUUAUUUUUUGGGGGGUUUUUUGCCCAUCCUGGUGUCUGUUGUCUUCCUCCCUUUUCCUUCUUUUUAAUUAGAUUUCCAGAAGUAAUGAGGCUUUUUUUAGCAUCAGAAAUCUUGGUGUUGUUGCAGCCUUGCAGGACAUCCUUUGUGUAUACAAGGACCUCCCACCUUUUCUCCCUUGAACCAAUCGCUAUUACGGGGUGAGCUUUCCCUUCUUUUCCCUUUUAGGACGUGUUU
rnacentral:lncRNA from 1 species